GUUGGAGAGACAGUGGACAGUGGACGAGGAGCAGUGUGGAGGAGGCUGCAUUCCUUUCACCCCAUUACAAUGGGCUCAUAAAAUACCCGGAGUUCUGAAGAGACAAAUGGGAAGGUAGCUGGGCCUUAGCCAUUUUGACAGAAGUUUUCUCAAGGGAGCGUGCCACCAGGCAAGUACAUCCUGGCAGAAAGAAGAUGUGAAGUGAAGAGAUCUCCAGGGAUGUGAACUGAAGAAAAACGUUGGAAAGGGAGGAGCAGGAGGCAGAUUUUCUACCUCAUGGAACUAUGUUUGCCUAAUGAAAGAGCCAGCAUUUGGAUGCCCACCAAACAGAGCUUAUCAAUACCCCAGCUUUGGCCAAGAAAGGAUAACAACAGGGGUUCAACUCGAGAGCUUAGAAGAAAUGGAUAGACUCUUAAAAGCAUACACCCUAUCAAGACUGAAUCAUCAAAAAGAAAAUCUGUAAAAUGAAUAAAUAGUAAGGACCGUGUGUAAUCAAAAAUAUCCCAACUACAGCAACAAAAAUAGCAAAAUGGCUCAGAACUCGAUGCUUUUACUGGUGUGUUCUACCAACAUUUAAAGAACAAGUCCUUCUGAAACUCUUCCAGUAAAUUGAGAAGAAUGGAGCAUAUCCAAACACAUUUUUAUGAGACUUGUAUUUGGAAUACAGAAGGCCUUCGUGAUAGCUGCUGAACUGCAAGUGGG